UACGUAGGGUGCGAGCGUUACUCGGAAUUACUGGGCGUAAAGCGUGCGCAGGCGGCUUGCCAAGUCAGAUGUGAAAGCCCCGGGCUCAACCCGGGAAUGGCGUUUGAAACUGGCAGGCUAGAGUUUGGCAGAGGGGGGUGGAAUUCCACGUGUAGCAGUGAAAUGCGUAGAUAUGUGGAGGAAUACCGAUGGCGAAGGCAGCCCCCUGGGAUAACACUGACGCUCAUGCACGAAAGCGUGGGGAGCAAACAGG
rnacentral:rRNA from 1 species